UUGUUUUAAUUUUUCUCCUCAUUCUUUGAAGAUUAAGGAUUAAUCGUGAGUAUGUGAGCAUGGCUUGAGGUGCUAGUAACUUCCGACCUGCUUGCCAUCGAGGGAGCAACGUCCGCGGCCUUUGGAUAAGCCCCAAUAAUGCUACCCAGAAGUGAAGAGGACAUGGGAACACCCAAAUGGAUUUGUUUAUUCAUGAAUGAAAUUAUUAUUUUAAUUUUGUUCCUCAUUCUUUGAAGAUUAAGGAUUAAUCGUGAGUAUGUGAGCAUGGCUCGAGGUGCUAGUAACUUCCGACCUGCUUGCCAACGAGGGAGCAACGGCCGCGGCCUUUGGGUAAGCCACAAUAAUGCCACCCAGAGGUGAAGACGAC